rnacentral:rRNA from 1 species
UACGUAGGUGACGAGCGUUGUCCGGAUUUACUGGGUGUAAAGGGCGCGUAGGCGGGAUAGCAAGUCAGCCGUGAAAUACCGAGGCUUAACCUCGGGGCUGCGGUUGAAACUGUUAUUCUUGAGUAUCGGAGAGGAAAGCGGAAUUCCCAGUGUAGCGGUGAAAUGCGUAGAUAUUGGGAGGAACACCAGUGGCGAAGGCGGCUUUCUGGACGACAACUGACGCUGAGGCGCGAAAGUGUGGGGAGCAAACAGG